GAGAGGUGGCAGAGUGGCCGAAUGCACCGGUCUUGAAAACCGGCGUAGGGUCAAACCUACCGUGGGUUCGAAUCCCACCCUCUCC
rnacentral:tRNA from 1 species